UCAGCAUGGAGUUUUACAUUAAGAUCCAAAGGGCAAACAAUAGGAGAAACAUUCAUACAGUCAAACUGAUGCAAUAGGUCAGAAACAUACUUAUGCUGAUUAAGGAGCAUCCCACCAGGAACUACAAACAUCUCAAUGCCCAGAAAAUAAUGCAAAGACCCAAGGUCUUUGAUCCUGAACUGAUGCAUACUUAUGGUGAUAAAGGAGCAUCCCACUAGGAACAACAGACAUCUCAAUGCCCAUAAAAUAAUGCAAAGACCCAAGGUCUUUGAUCCUGAACUGAUCAUCCAGAAACAGCUUCAGGGCAGAAAGCUCAUCAUUGUCAU
rnacentral:lncRNA from 1 species